UACCUGCAGCUCAAGUGGUGACCGCUAUUAUUGGGCCUAAAACGUUCGUAGCCGGUUUGGUAAAUGCCUGGGUAAAUCGUGUAGCUCAACUAUACGAAUUCCGGGUAGACUGUCAAACUUGAGACCGGGAGAAGCUAGAGGUACUCCUGGGGUAGAGGUGAAAUUCUGUAAUCCUGGGGGGACCACCAGUGGCGAAGGCGUCUAGCUAGAACGGGUUUGACGGUGAGGAACGAAGCCCUGGGGCGCAAACCGGAUUAGAUACCCGGGUAGUCCAGGGUGUAAACGCUGCUUGCUUGAUGUUAGUUGGGCUCCGAGCCCAAUUAGUGUCGGAGAGAAGUUGUUAAGCAAGCUGCCUGGGAAGUACGGUCGCAAGGCUGAAACUUAAAGGAAUUGGCGGGGGAGCACAGCAACGGGAGGAGCGUGCGGUUU
rnacentral:rRNA from 1 species